UGUGGCUCAGUGGUAGAGUGUUUGCCUUGCAUGCAUAAAGGCCUGGGUUUGAUCCCUAGCA
rnacentral:tRNA from 1 species